UGAACCUCUACUUCGACUGCAGCUUCUCGAAUUUUCCAUCCGUUUCCAGUUCUCUCUUUCGCAAAUCUCUGCUUCCGUUGCUCACAACUUGCCUUCUAUCACUCUCAAACGCCGGUUUGUACUCGGCAAAGUCUGUGAAGGACCAAUAAAUGGAUUCGAAGAUGAACCAAGUCAAGGGACACGGAGCUCAGAAUAUCAGAGAUUUCUCAAGAGGGUUUUGCCUUUCUGAAGAGUUACUUUCAAGGAUAAAAAUGAGUGUUCCAAAGAAAGCUAGGAGUUCCAGUGAUGAAAUUGAACUUAUCUUCUUGGGAUUGAGUUGCUUUUGCGACGGAGACAUUUCAGAAGAGAAUGAGACUUUCCAUGUCUGGAGUACUUUCUCUGCAUGCUUAGGGUAAAUUGUUUGCCUAUUCUGGGAGCAGCUAUCCCGAGGUUGAUUGAUAGGGUGAAUAUUGAAUCUAUCGACAUUAAAAGGACUUGGCAGGGUCUUUGAUUGGUGGUGACCCAGAGCAACAAUUUGCAAUGUGCUGUGAAUGUUUGCAGAUGUGCUUCAACGUUGAGGUCAAUUAAUUUCUAAACUCAUGAUUACAUUGACUAGCCUAAUACCUAGGUAUAAUGCGAAAGAGUGAAGCCUUAACCACACAUGUGCAUAAGAGUGAAGCAAUUGCUGACAUUGUUGUAAACUUUGCUUCUUCCUUUAUUCUUUCAACGUUGAGGAUUAUUUGAUUGUUUUUAUACAAUCGAAAGUUGGUCAUGAAACAUGAGUGAUACGUUUCUAUACAAGUUUCGGUGGGGCACCCCAUAGAAAACAAAUUUUCUGUUUGUGUAGCAAUGUAGUUGAAAGCUACCAUAUUUUCUGUUUAUGUUGAGCAAAACUAUGAUCAACAUCAAAACAAAUCAUCCAUCGUGUCCUUAUUUGUUAUGGUACUUUUUUUACAGUUUCAUAGAGAGCAAAUUGAUCGCUUUCACUUUUGGAAGCAACUAAACUCUUACCAAAUCAAAAUCUCUUUUUCAAGUUUUAAUAUUUCACUUUAGUUUUUUGUUUUUGCCUUUUUUAAUGGGUAGUAUUGUUAUUUGGAGACAUGCUACAUGAAAGCAUUUAUACAUUGUUGUACUAACAAA